GGGGAGGUUCCCGAGCGGCUAAAGGGAUCAGACUGUAAAUCUGACGGCUUAUGCCUUCGGAGGUUCGAAUCCUCCCCUCCCCA
rnacentral:tRNA from 1 species